rnacentral:rRNA from 1 species
UACAGAGGUCCCAAGCGUUGUUCGGAUUCACUGGGCGUAAAGGGUGCGUAGGCGGUCGGGUAAGUCUGAUGUGAAAUCUCACAGCUUAACUGUGAAACUGCAUUGGAUACUAUUCGGCUUGAGAGUUGGAGGGGGGGACUGGAAUUCUUGGUGUAGCAGUGAAAUGCGUAGAUAUCAAGAGGAACACCAGUGGCGAAGGCGAGUCCCUGGACAACUUCUGACGCUGAGGCAGCGAAAGACUAGGGGAGCAAACAGG